AGUGAACGCUGGCGGCAGGCCUAACACAUGCAAGUCGAACGGCAGCACAAGAGAGCUUGCUCUCUGGGUGGCGAGUGGCGGACGGGUGAGGAAUGCAUCGGAAUCUGCCCAUUUGUGGGGGAUAACCUCGGGAAACCGGGACUAAUACCGCAUACGACCUACGGGUGAAAGCAGGGGAUCUUCGGACCUUGCGCAGAUGGAUGAGCCGAUGCCGGAUUAGCUAGUUGGAGGGGUAAAGGCCCACCAAGGCGACGAUCCGUAGCUGGUCUGAGAGGAUGAUCAGCCACACUGGGACUGAGACACGGCCCAGACUCCUACGGGAGGCAGUAGUGGGGAAUAUUGGACAAUGGGCGCAAGCCUGAUCCAGCCAUGCCGCGUGUGUGAAGAAGGCCUUCGGGUUGUAAAGCACUUUUGUUGGGAAAGAAAAGCAGCCGGUUAAUACCCGGUUGUCAUGACGGUACCCAAAGAAUAAGCACCGGCUAACUUCGUG
rnacentral:rRNA from 1 species